GACGUAGGAUGCAAGCGUUGUCCGGAAUUAUUGGGCGUAAAGAGUUCGUAGGCGGUAUAUCAAGUCUGGUGUUAAAGACCGAGGCUCAACUUCGGAAGAGCACUGGAUACUGAUAAACUAGAGUGCAGGAGAGGCAAGGGGAAUUCCCAGUGUAGCGGUGAAAUGCGUAGAUAUUGGGAGGAACACCGGUGGCGUAAGCGCCUUGCUGGACUGUAACUGACGCUGAGGAACGAAAGCCAGGGGAGCGAAUGGGAUUAGAUACCCCAGUAGUCCUGGCCGUAAACGAUGGAUACUAGGUGUUGCGGGUAUCGACCCCUGCAGUGCCGUAGCUAACGCGAUAAGUAUCCCGCCUGGGGAGUACGCACGCAAGUGUG
rnacentral:rRNA from 1 species